UAUGUACUGCACAACCCUAGGAAUGUGUGCCAUUCACAUAGACUAAAAUUGAAUGGCGCCACUAGGGUUGUGCAGUGUACAA
rfam:Pteropus alecto contig73945, whole genome shotgun sequence.